rnacentral:rRNA from 1 species
GACGAACGCUGGCGGCGUGCUUAACACAUGCAAGUCGAACGGAAAGGCCCUGCUUUUGUGGGGUGCUCGAGUGGCGAACGGGUGAGUAACACGUGAGUAACCUGCCCUUGACUUUGGGAUAACUUCAGGAGACUGGGGCUAAUACCGGAUAGGAGCUCCUGCUGCAUGGUGGGGGUUGGAAAGUUUCGGCGGUUGGGGAUGGACUCGCGGCUUAUCAGCUUGUUGGUGGGGUAGUGGCUUACCAAGGCUUUGACGGGUAGCCGGCCUGAGAGGGUGACCGGCCACAUUGGGACUGAGAUACGGCCCAGACUCCUACGGGAGGCAGCAGUGGGGAAUAUUGCACAAUGGGCGGAAGCCUGAUGCAGCAACGCCGCGUGCGGGAUGAUGGCCUUCGGGUUGUAAACCGCUUUCGCCUGUGACGAAGCGUGAGUGACGGUAAUGGGUAAAGAAGCACCGGCUAACUACGUG